UGGGGAAUUUUGGACAAUGGGCGCAAGCCUGAUCCAGCCAUGCCGCGUGCGGGAAGAAGGCCUUCGGGUUGUAAACCGCUUUUGUCAGGGAAGAAAUCUUCUGAGUUAAUACCUCGGGAGGAUGACGGUACCUGAAGAAUAAGCACCGGCUAACUACGUGCCAGCAGCCGCGGUAAUACGUAGGGUGCAAGCGUUAAUCGGAAUUACUGGGCGUAAAGCGUGCGCAGGCGGUUUUGUAAGACAGAGGUGAAAUCCCCGGGCUCAACCUGGGAACUGCCUUUGUGACUGCAAGGCUUGAGUGCGGCAGAGGGGGAUGGAAUUCCGCGUGUAGCAGUGAAAUGCGUAGAUAUGCGGAGGAACACCGAUGGCGAAGGCAAUCCCCUGGGCCUGCACUGACGCUCAUGCACGAAAAGCGUGGGGAGCAAAACAGGAUUAGAAUACCCUGGUAGGUCCAGCCCUAAAACCGAUGUCAACUGGUUGUUGGGAAGGUUCCUUCUCAGUAACGUAGCUAACGCGUGAAGUUGACCGCCUGGGGAGUACGGCCGCAA
rnacentral:rRNA from 1 species